GUAGGUGGCAAGCGUUGUCCGGAAUUAUUGGGCGUAAAGCGCGCGCAGGCGGUUCUUUAAGUCUGAUGUGAAAGCCCACGGCUCAACCGUGGAGGGUCAUUGGAAACUGGAGAACUUGAGUACAGAAGAGGAAAGCGGAAUUCCACGUGUAGCGGUGAAAUGCGUAGAGAUGUGGAGGAACACCAGUGGCGAAGGCGGCUUUCUGGUCUGUAACUGACGCUGAGGCGCGAAAGCGUGGGGAGCAAACAGGGACUAGAUACCCUGGCAGUCCACGCCGUAAACGAUGAGUGCUAAGUGUUAGGGGGUUUCCGCCCCCCUUAGUGCUGCAGCUAACGCAUUAAGCACUCCGCCUGGGAGUACGGCCGCAAGGCUG
rnacentral:rRNA from 1 species